rnacentral:rRNA from 1 species
UUNGCAAGAAUUGNAACUCGAAAGGAAUUUGACGGGGACCCGCACAAGCGGUGGAGCAUGUGGUUUAAUUNGAAGCANCGCGAAGNACCUUACCAGGUCUUGACAUCCCUCNGNCCGNUCAGUANCGNGGCCUUUCCUUCGGGACAGAGGAGACAGGUGGUGCAUGGUUGUCGUCAGCUCGUGUCGUGAGNUGUUGGGUUAAGUCCCGCAACGAGCGCAACCCCUAUCCUUAGUAGCCAGCAGUUUGGCUGGGCACUCUAGGGAGACUGCCAGGGAUAACCUGGAGGAAGGCGGGGAUGACGUCAAAUCAUCAUGCCCCUUAUGAUCUGGGCUACACACGUGCUACAAUGGUGACUACAAAGGGAAGCAACUCUNUGAAGACAAGCGAAUCCCAAAAAGGUCAUCCCAGUUCGGAUUGUAGUCUGCAACUCGACUACAUGAAGCUGGAAUCGCUAGUAAUCGCGAAUCAGAAUGUCGCGGUGAAUNCGUUCCCGGGUCUUGUACACACCGCCCGUCACACCAUGGGAGUCGGAAAUNCCCGAAGUCAGUGACCCAACCCAUCUUAGUGAGCAUGACAAACGUGAUAACAAUGCAAAGCAUUGUUAUAUUCGUAUAAAAAAUACGUUACCGUAAUAAUGAGAACAUUGUGAUAAAGAUAUAGACUAAACAUAAUGCUUUGAANUGUUAUAUUCGUAUAAAAAUACGGACACGGAUAAACGAAAGUUGACCGUGNGUAUCAGCGUAGUCAGUCGUGCUUAGUAAGAUGGGAGGGAGCUGCCGAAGGUGGAGCUCGAUGANCUGGGGUGAAGUCGUAANCAAGGUAACCCGAAAGGGCGAAUUCGUAACNCGC